GUCCUAGCAGUAAACGUUGUUCACUUGGUGUUGGAGGAUUCGACCCCUUCAGUGCCGUAGCUAACGCGAUAAGUGAACCGCCUGGGAAGUACGGUCGCAAGACUAAAACUCAAAGAAAUUGACGGGGACCCGCACAAGCGGUGGAGUAUGUGGCUUAAUUCGAUGCAACGCGAAGAACCUUACCCAGGCUUGACAUGCAGAGUUCAAAUAUGGAAACAUAUUGGAUCGCAAGAUCGAUCUGCACAGGUGCUGCAUGGCUGUCGU
rnacentral:rRNA from 1 species